rnacentral:misc_RNA from 1 species
UACGUAGGUGGCAAGCGUUGUCCGGAAUUAUUGGGCGUAAAGCGCGCGCAGGCGGUUUCUUAAGUCUGAUGUGAAAUCUUGCGGCUCAACCGCAAGCGGUCAUUGGAAACUGGGGAACUUGAGUACAGAAGAGGAGAGUGGAAUUCCACGUGUAGCGGUGAAAUGCGUAGAGAUGUGGAGGAACACCAGUGGCGAAGGCGACUCUCUGGUCUGUAACUGACGCUGAGGCGCGAAAGCGUGGGGAGCGAACAGG